UAGUCCACGCUGUAAACGGUGGGUACUAGGUGUGGGGUCCAUUCCACGGAUUCCGUGCCGUAGCUAACGCAUUAAGUACCCCGCCUGGGGAGUACGGCCGCAAGGCUAAAACUCAAAGGAAUUGACGGGGCCCCGCACAAGCGGCGGAGCAUGCGGAUUAAUUCGAUGCAACGCGAAGAACCUUACCUGGGUUUGACAUGGAUCGGUAACUUCCAGAGAUGGUUGCCCCCCUUUUUGGGGUCGGUUCAC
rnacentral:rRNA from 1 species